rnacentral:rRNA from 1 species
AUGCCUGCUGAGACGGUAUCUGAGGAUACCAUUAGAAGUGCCACCCCUGGUUCUGUAAGGCAGCAGAGGGUAGUUCACGCACCCCCUGUGGAUGACUAUGAGCCCGAAGUCAAGGCCACAAAGGAGCAGAACCAUUUGUAUGAUAUUGUCAAGCGAUUUGGAAAUGCGAGGUCCAACAACAAGCACAUGAAGGAGCUGAAAGCAACCAAUGUCAUACAAUGCGAUGCGACAUACGUUGACUUGGGUGAUCUUGCCGAGUCCGUGAGGCCAUUCGGUAAAAUGUCGACGAAUGUAGUUGCAUGUGGGAUUGACUUCAUCAACAGGCAUACGGAUAUGUCUCCCGACAAAACAAUCAUGCAUUACAGCGUGACCUGCAAAAUAUGGGAUGGUGACUUCCACCACAAAAUCCUGAGUAAGCAUUUUGCUGCGCACGGUGAAUUCAAGCUCACAAUGAAGAAAUGUGUGAGUACUCCUUCCUUUUUUGCACAUUUUUUCCUCCCAUGA